UUUUUUGCCGUCUGGUCAUCCUCGUCGGUCUUCUGCUUCUGGGUAUCGACAUCGUUAUCCUCAUCAUCUUCAGCUGCCCGCUUGCCCGUAGCUGACUCAGCUCCCUCAUCUUCAUCUCCAUCCUCUUCCUCACCAUCACCUUCUUCCUCCCCACCUUCUUCCUCUUCUUCAUCUACCUCGUUGUCAGCCUCCGGCUCCCCAUUUUCCUCAUUAGCAUUCCCGUGAGCAGGGGCGUCUCUUCCAUUUUCCGCCUCUUCCACAACUUCCUUCUUCUCCUUUAAGUCCUCGGUGGUGAUUUCGGAGCUGGUGUCUACGGCUGCGUCUGACAUGGUGGGGCACGCCGGUGACGCGAUGCAGGGGAUAAAAAAGAAAGCGACAGUUCAGGGACUCUGGCGAUAAAGCUGCCGGAGUCCGCGGCGGCGGAGGCGGCUGCGGCGAGCAAGGAGGCUGACGACGCACAAUGCAAAGACGGCUUUUCAGAGCAGCCAGUGGGGCAGGACAAUGUUUUUCAUCAAAUGUCCUUAGAUUUGGAGGAGGUUUCUUCUUUUCCAGUUUCCCCAGUGUAUCCAGUGGUUGUCUUCCUCUUGAUUAAUAUUAAAGGAGGAGAAAAAGUGUGUAUUGGGGUCAGUGCAGAAAACAAAUCAUCCAAGCACACGAAGUGGAAUUUGCUAAUAGCAUUACUACUCACCCAGUGACUUCGGAGUCACAACCCAGGACACGGUUUUCCGCCCAUUUCUACAGACACAGUGAGAUUCUUCAUUCUUCUCUGUUGGAACAGCCAGGAAAGCGGAAGAGACCUCCAGCUGCACAACGACCUGUCCCCCACACCCAACCACAAGUUUAUGAAGGGAUGCAGAACAGCAUGAAUACUGCAAAAGAUGCUCUGUGCAUCAGGUAAAUGGACUGAGGGACAAUGUCCAUGAGUCCAGAGGCGCUGAGAAGCUGUGCAAAUAUGGUCAGCUCUAUCAGACACUUUGUAGUUUAGGUGUUUGAAACAAGAAAAUUGAAAAACUGACAGGAAUUAGGAUAAGUGUUUAGGAUUUAGCCUUGUGCCAACAGAAGAAAGAGGUGUUUAGUGAAAAACAUGAAACAAUCAGGUGGACAUAAUGUCUGAAUUUAGGAAUACACAGAUAUAGGAGCCUGAAUGAAUAUAACCUUACCACCUUGGGCCUGUCAGGUACCUUUUCUCUUAGUACCAGGUCUGCUCCAAAAUUAGGAUAUAUCAUAUGCAGUUCUGAUUUCCUGGGUUACCUAGGAGACCUGGUAAUGAAUGGUGACUAUCUUCUAUUCUCAUUCACUUCCAGAGAAGUGUCCUUACCCGAAUGCAGGUGGACAAGCAGUUAAACACAGUGGCUUUGAGUGUGAAGGCUUCUCCUCGCACCACAGAAUAAGGAAGGGUGAGUUCUAGGAAGAAAGGCUGGAAGGCUUGAAGAGACACGAUAGGAGAGAGGCCAAACCCUGUGGUUCCAGACAAGCAGAAUGCGCUGGCCUUCCACUCUGUGAUGGUUUCAGGGACCUGGUCACCAGCUCACUUAUACCUAAUGAGCUAGUGAAGGAGCAGAGAAGAGGAGUAUAAGCAAAUCUUUUUUUUUUUUUUUUAACACAAAGCAUGGCUGAUCCUAGAACAUGAUAACUCAGUAACCUAGUGUGGUAAAUGCUAAACUUGAUCUAAGGGUUGGUGCUCCUGGUGAGGUUUAAAGUUUUUUUUCUCCCUACCUCCCUUACUCCCUCCUUCCCUCCCUCCCUUUAUUUCUUCCUCUUUUCUUUCAUUCUUUCCUUCCUUUUGUUCUUUCUUUCAAUCUCCCUCCCCUCCCCUUCCCUUUCCUUUAUUUAAGAGGGCUGGUAGCAUCCUACUUUCUAUUAUCUUAGUUAUCAAUAGACUAAAUUAGAAAAAAAAUUAGCAUUGUUUAAUUAUGAGAUAAAUGAACUAUAAACCUAAAUAUUUACCAGAAAAGAGCAGAGCAGAACUAAAAGGAUCAGGAAUCCAGGAUAACAUCAGUCAUACAGCAGGAUUCAAACCCUCUCCUAAACUAAAUUCCAGGCAACACACAACUUACUCAACUACCACCAAAUCCCAGAUCCAGGUCUCAGGGAAGUACUUCCGGACUAUCUCUUUCACUUGCAAUAUCUGAGGUUCUUCUUCGAUCAUUGGGUACAUUAUUUCUACGGCUCCUGGGGGUACACCUCGCAGACCUGGUCCUGGAAGACAACACACAGGCCUCAGUGUGAACCUCAUUUUUAUCAUCAAUUUCUUAUUGCUGCCUUAUUUCUCAAAUGGAAUAAGGUCAUACGCUCAGGGAAUGUUUAUUAUUGGAACAAUUUAACCUACCAGCUUGUUAUUUUGUUCACUUUCCUAUAAAAAGGCUAAUCCUAUUUUUUCUUCAAAUAGAAUCUAGAGCUAAAUAUAUUUUUCUUUAUAAAUAAAAACAAAUGACCUGUACAUGUACCUCCUGAAUCUAAAAUAAAAGUUGAUUAAAAAAAAAC
rnacentral:lncRNA from 1 species